rnacentral:lncRNA from 1 species
CAAACCCUGAGAAUCCAAAACUUCCUGGACUUUGUAGCAUCUCUAGGGUGAAGGGUGAUUGCCCCUCUGGUGGUGCUUGAGAUCUUUGGUUCUGAUGGGAAUUGUCACUGUGUUGGAUCACUUGCAAGGGACUUAUGGCAGUGGCUGCAGUGUUGGUAGGGUUUGAAGCAUUGUUUGGCAUUGGUCUGUUAACAGAAUGGCUGCCACUGCCACGAGCUGCAGGAACAUCAUGGUUGUGCUUCCCCUCAUAGGUUGUGAUCACAGCCCUUAGGUCAUGUGAAGCUCUUUCCACAUGCUUCCUCACUGGACAUCCUGGGUGUGUACACUUGUAGUAACUCCUACAUGUCACAAGUUUAGCACAGUAUCAGACAAGCCCAUCUAGGAGUGCUAUUAUUCUUCUAAAUCACAUGGACACAUUGGAAAAACGAAAGUUGCCAAAUUUGACCAAGGAAUUUUUGGACAAGGAAAAGGGAAACAGGUACAAGUUAGUGUACUGUAGAAUUUCAACCAAAAAAAGUCAUUGUAAGGUUUGAAAAGAUGUAGACAAAGAAAUAGCAGCCAUCAUGCAGUUAUAAUGUUUUUACCACAUUUAUAUUAUACAAAAUAGUCUAUGCAUUUACAAUUGUCAUCUAUGGUAUGCUGUUAACUUUUUAUAAGAAUAAGAACUACUAGUACCUUACAAUUCUUAACUAUUAUAAAUGCUGAUUUAUUGAGAAUGUAAAACUCUUUAACAUACUUUUACAUUAAACACUUAUUAUUAGCAUGACUGAGGAAUUCCUUAAUUGGAUUCUCAAAUUACUAUAUUUCCUAAUGGAACUUCAAAGUAUAAAAACUUUCAAAAAGUUGGACAAAAGUAAAACCUAAAGAGUAUGUUUCUUUCUUCUUUUUUUACCUUGGAUUUGGAUUGCCCUUCACUACUUUCUGCCCGUAUUUUCUCCAUCUAUACCCAUCAUCUAGGAUAUCAAUGUCACUGGUUGUCUGAACUACAACUCUAGGUUCUCUUACUGUUCUACUUCCAGGGGCAGACAUACCCUCAUUUUCACCUUCAAUUUUCCUGAAAAAUCAAUGGAAAAAUUAGCCAGGGAAUGAACCACACCAAUGAUAUACAAAUAAAAGGCCACAAAGUGGAUUAGAGAACCUUAAUUAUGAUGCAAAGUGAGGAAAUAAAAGCUCACCAUCUUUUGGCAUCAGGUUCAUCUUCAUCAUAUUCAUCCCCUCCUGAUUUACACUUUUGAGAACUCUGCUCAAAAUCAUCAUCUCCAAUUGAUAUUGAUGAGUUUUCUGGGGUGGCAGCUGAAUCCAUUUGUCCACUUCCAUGUGUGGCAUAGGAUUGAUCUGGGAUUUCAGCGCUGAUGGGAUUUGAAUGAGGGAUUGCAAGAGAAGAGGAAUUUGAUGAGUUUCUCCUAGUAUUUUGAGGCUUAGGAUGGUUAUGAGUACCCUUAUAAACGAUCUCAGUAAUUUGUCCAUCUAAAGACCUCUCAACCUUCUUCUUUGUAGGGCAGUUGGGGUAUGUGCAUUUGUAAUAACUUCUUGGAUUUUCACUUCCCUUCACUUGUUUUUGGCCAUAUUUCCUCCAAUUGUACCCAUCAUCUGACCUUCUGCUUAAGGUCUGAGAUUGUGGGGGGUAAUUGCCAUAAUCCGAUUGAAACCCAUUGCUAUGAUUAUUUUGGACACUAGCAAUCUCAGGGGAAAAACUUUGCAUGGAUGAAGAUUUUUCAGUUUUCAUCAUGCUCUUUCCUGAAGAAAAAUUAUCCUGCUUUGUGGUCUCCUGAUAACUCCAUGGCUGUUGCUGUUACAAGGAAUCAGAUUGAAAAUAUUAGAAAAAGAGAACUUGCUAUGUUAAAAACCAACAAGACAAAAGGCAAAGGCUUAGCUUAAAUGAGUCUAUGUAUUGAAAUAGGUCACAUACUGUUUGAACUGUGACAUUUGAAGACUGAUAUGUUGCUGUGGAUGAAGCAGGAGGUCCUUGUUGGGUUUGAAAGGAGAAAUUUGAGAAGCCUUUGUCUUCUUCUUUGACAAUUCGCUGGUUCCCCCCGGAAC